GUUACCUUCGGGUAAUGAGGAUGGCGGACGGGUGAGUAACGCGUAAGGAACUUGCCUCUUGGACUGGGACAACUGUUGGAAACGACAGCUAAUACCGGAUAUUAUGAGAUUCUCGCAUGAGAAACUUAUGAAAGCUAUAUGCGCCAAGAGAGAGCCUUGCGUUCCAUUAGCUAGUUGGUGGGGUAACGGCCCACCAAGGCGACGAUGGAUAGCCGGCCUGAGAGGGUGAACGGCCACAAGGGGACUGAGACACGGCCCUUACUCCUACGGGAGGCAGCAGUGGGGAAUAUUGGACAAUGGACCAAAAGUCUGAUCCAGCAAUUCUGUGUGCACGAUGAAGGUCUUCGGAUUGUAAAGUGCUUUCAGUUGGGAAGAAGCAAGUGACGGUACCAACAGAAGAAGCGACGGCUAAAUACGUGCCAGCAGCCGCGGUAAUACGUAUGUCGCAAGCGUUAUCCGGAUUUAUUGGGCGUAAAGCGCGUCUAGGCGGAAAAAUAAGUCUGAUGUUAAAAUGCGGGGCUCAACUCCGUAUUGCGUUGGAAACUGUUUUUCUAGAGUACUGGAGAGGUGGGCGGAACUACAAGUGUAGAGGUGAAAUUCGUAGAUAUUUGUAGGAAUGCCGAUGGAGAAGUCAGCUCACUGGACAGAUACUGACGCUGAAGCGCGAAAGCGUGGGGAGCAAACAGGAUUAGAUACCCUGGUAGUCCACGCCGUAAACGAUGAUCACU
rnacentral:rRNA from 1 species